AGCAUAUCAAACAAUAGCAGCAGAGUCCAUGCAUUGCAGGGGUAGAAUAAGAAAAAGUUUGAAGCAAGUAGUAUGAACAAACAUUGAGAAUUCUAGGAAGAAUAUUGCAAACCUUGAUAGUCUUUAAGAGGAUCAUACAACAAGCAGAGUACUGCAGAGUAGAACAGAACAAGAGAACACAGAUGAGGAGGAGGCGGAGCUUAGUAUUUACUGUGUCAUCUGGUUCGCCGAGAACCAUCAGACAUUUUCAAAUAUGUUUAA